rnacentral:rRNA from 1 species
GACGAACGCUGGCGGCGUGCUUAACACAUGCAAGUCGAGCGGUAAGGCCCUUUCGGGGGUACACGAGCGGCGAACGGGUGAGUAACACGUGGGUGACCUGCCCUCAGCUCUGGGAUAAGCCUGGGAAACUGGGUCUAAUACUGGAUAUGACUCCACGGUGCAUGUCGUGGGGUGGAAAGCCUUGUGCGGCUGAGGAUGGGCCCGCGGCCUAUCAGCUUGUUGGUGGGGUGAGGCCUACCAAGGCGACGACGGGUAGCCGGCCUGAGAGGGCGACCGGCCACACUGGGACUGAGACACGGCCCAGACUCCUACGGGAGGCAGCAGUGGGGAAUCUUGCGCAAUGGGCGAAAGCCUGACGCAGCGACGCCGCGUGAGGGAUGAC